rnacentral:piRNA from 1 species
UGGAAGGUCUGAAUAGGUAGUUUUU